UACGUAGGGUGCAAGCGUUGUCCGGAAUUAUUGGGCGUAAAGAGCUCGUAGGCGGUCUGUCGCGUCUGCUGUGAAAACUCAGGGCUUAACCCUGAGCUUGCAGUGGGUACGGGCAGACUAGAGUGCGGUAGGGGAGACUGGAGUUCCUGGUGUAGCGGUGAAAUGCGCAGAUAUCAGGAGGAACACCGGUGGCGAAGGCGGGUCUCUGGGCCGUAACUGACGCUGAGGAGCGAAAGCAUGGGGAGCGAACAGG
rnacentral:rRNA from 1 species